rnacentral:misc_RNA from 1 species
GAUGAAGAACGUAGCGAAAUGCGAUAAGUAGUGUGGAUUGCAGAAUUCAGUGAAUCAUCGAAUCUUUGAACGCACAUUGCGCCCCUUGGUAUCCCGAGGGGCAUGCCUGUUCGAGCGUCAUUUCACCACUCAAGCCUGGCUUGGUGUUGGGCGACGUCCUCUUUGUGGACGCGCCUCGAAACGCUCGGCGGCGUGGCACCGGCUUUAAGCGUAGCAGAAUCUUUCGCUUUGGAAGUCGGGGCCCCGUCUGCCGGAAGACCUGCUCGCAAGGUUGACCUCGGAUCAGGCAGGGAUACCCGCUGAACUUAAGCAUAUAAUAAGCGGAGGA